rnacentral:rRNA from 1 species
GACGAACGCUGGCGGCGUGCUUAACACAUGCGAGUCGAACGGAAAGGCCCUGCUUUUGUGGGGUGCUCGAGUGGCGAACGGGUGAGUAACACGUGAGUAACCUGCCCUUGACUUUGGGAUAACUUCAGGAAACUGGGGCUAAUACCGGAUAGGAGCUCCUGCUGCAUGGUGGGGGUUGGAAAGUUUCGGCGGUUGGGGAUGGACUCGCGGCUUAUCAGCUUGUUGGUGGGGUAGUGGCUUACCAAGGCUUUGACGGGUAGCCGGCCUGAGAGGGUGACCGGCCAUAUUGGGACUGAGAUACGGCCCAGACUCCUACGGGAGGCAGCAGUGGGGAAUAUUGCACAAUGGGCGGAAGCCUGAUGCAGCAACGCCGCGUGCGGGAUGACGGCCUUCGGGUUGUAAACCGCUUUCGCCUGUGACGAAGCGUGAGUGACGGUAAUGGGUAAAGAAGCACCGGCUAACUACGUG